UACGGAGGGGGCUAGCGUUGUUCGGAAUUACUGGGCGUAAAGCGCACGUAGGCGGCUUUGUAAGUUAGAGGUGAAAGCCCAGGGCUUAACCCUGGAAUUGCCUUUAAGACUGCAUCGCUAGAAUUGUGGAGAGGUAAGUGGAAUUCCGAGUGUAGAGGUGAAAUUCGUAGAUAUUCGGAAGAACACCAGUGGCGAAGGCGACUCACUGGACACGUAUUGACGCUGAGGUGCGAAAGCGUGGGGAGCAAACAGG
rnacentral:rRNA from 1 species